AGAACAGGACAUGAAGGUUCUACAGGAAAACACGUGUCUGAGCCUCCUGUGGUUCUAAUAUGAAGGUUCUACAGGAGAACACGUGUCUGAGCCUCCUGUGGUUCUAAUAUGAAGGUUCUACAGGAGAACACGUGUCUGAGCCUCCUGUGGUUCUAAUAUGAAGGUUCUACAGGAGAACACGUGUCUGAGCCUCCUGUGGUUCUAAUAUGAAGGUUCUACAGGAGAACACGUGUCUGAGCCUCCUGUGGUUCUAAUAUGAAGGUUCUACAGGAGAACACGUGUCUGAGCCUCCUGUGGUUCUAAUAUGAAGGUUCUACAGGAGAACACAUGUCUGAGCCUCCUGUGGUUCUAAUAUGAAGGUUCUACAGGAGAACAUGUGUCUGAGCCUCCUGUGGUUCUAAUAUGAAGGUUCUACAGGAGAACACAUGUCUGAGCCUCCUGUGGUUCUAAUAUGAAGGUUCUACAGGAGAACAUGUGUCUGAGCCUCCUGUGGUUCUAAUAUGAAGGUUCUACAGGAGAACACAUGUCUGAGCCUCCUGUGGUUCUAAUAUGAAGGUUCUACAGGAGAACACGUGUCUGAGCCUCCUGUGGUUCUAAUAUGAAGGUUCUACAGGAGAACACGUGUCUGAGCCUCCUGUGGUUCUACUGGUGUGAGGAG